UACAGAGGGGGCAAGCGUUAUUCGGAAUUAUUGGGCGUAAAGGGCGCGUAGGCGGCCAUUCAAGUCAGAGGUGAAAGCCCAAGGCUCAACCUUGGAACUGCCUUUGAUACUGUUUGGCUUGAGACCGGUAGAGGUAAGUGGAACUGCGAGUGUAGAGGUGAAAUUCGUAGAUAUUCGCAAGAACACCAGUGGCGAAGGCGGCUUACUGGACCGGUUCUGACGCUGAGGCGCGAAAGCGUGGGGAGCAAACAGG
rnacentral:rRNA from 1 species